UCUCCGUUGGUGAACCAGCGGAGGGAUCAUUACAGGACUCGCAAGACUCCUACAACCCUGUGAAAUUAACUAUAAGCACGUUGCUUCGGCGGGUGUCUCGGAGGGGGUUCUCCCUCCCCGAGACGCUAAACCCGCCGGCAGCCUACUAUACUCUGUCUCUUUGCGUUGGCAUCUCGAGUACAAUCAAACAAGUUAAAACUUUCAACAACGGAUCUCUUGGUUCUG
rnacentral:misc_RNA from 1 species